GCUACGGGUGGCUGCAGUGAGGAAUAUUGGUCAAUGGGCGAGAGCCUGAACCAGCCAAGUCGCGUGAGGGAGUACUGCCCUAUGGGUUGUAAACCUCUUUUGUCGGGGAGCAAAAGCCGGACGUGUCCGGCUGUGAGAGUACCCGAAGAAAAAGCAGCGGCUAACUCCGUGCCAGCAGCCGCGGUAAGACGGAGGAUGCGAGCGUUAUCCGGAUUUAUUGGGUUUAAAGGGAGCGCAGGCGGAUUUUUAAGUCAGCGGUCAAAUCGUGGGGCUCAACCCCAUCCAGCCGUUGAAACUGGGGAUCUAGAGUGUGCGCUAGGUAUGCUGCCUGCGUUUUGUAGCGGUGAAAUGCAUCGAUAUCACGCAGAACCCCGAUUGCGAAGGCAGCAUACCGGUGCACAACUGACGCUCAGGCACGAACGCGUGGGUAUCGAACAGGAUUAGAUACCCCUGUAGUC
rnacentral:rRNA from 1 species